rnacentral:rRNA from 1 species
UACGUAGGGGGCAAGCGUUGUCCGGAAUCAUUGGGCGUAAAGCGCGUGUAGGCGGCUCGAUAAGUCUGCUGUAAAAGUCCAGGGCUCAACCCUGGAAAGCCGGUGGAAACUGUCGAGCUAGAGUCCGGAAGAGGCGAGUGGAAUUCCUGGUGUAGCGGUGAAAUGCGCAGAUAUCAGGGGGAACACCAAUGGCGAAGGCAGCUCGCUGGGACGGUACUGACGCUGAGACGCGAAAGCGUGGGGAGCAAACAGG